ACAGCUUCAUCAUGUCGUGCAGCGACUCGGGGCAGCCCUGCGGGCAUGGCAUGCGGUAGCCGCGCUCCACCUGCUCCAGGACUUCACGGUUCACCAUACCUGCAGGGAAAGCCAGCCCAUCACCCGAUUGGUGAGGUUUGCCCGUCUUAGCCAUCUAAGCUCUCUCCACUCCUUUCAGCUCAGUGCGUCACUAAUAUCAGUCAUUCUUUGCAGAGGAGACGUCGCAUGAAUCACUUGGACAGCGCCCCACCACCACCUAUCCCCACCGCCCGCACUCCGCUUAUUAGCGACAUCCAUACAAAUGAAGCGGACCGGCCAGACGGAAGGACAAACAGACGGACGAGCUCCAGUGGGACUCGAUGUCGUGGGCACCUCCCCCGCCCGCCCUCCCACCUUGGCGACCAUAAAAAGAAGCCCAAAGCAAGAGCAGAAGUAGGGACACGCACACUCCCAAAAAGUUGUCUGUCACGCAAAUGUUUGGAGGAGGACACUGCCACGCCACGGAGGACACCAGACACCCACAAGAAGAAGAAGAAGAAGGAGGAGAGGGAGAGGAGGAGGAGGAGGGGGAGGCAAGAGGAAGAGGCGCUUGCAUCUCACGCCUGCGUGCACACGGGCUCUUCCACCACAAAAUGUCCAGCAAAGCGACGCUCGCCUUGCUCAUCUAUGGCAUCUUCAUGCGCCACGGCAGCGGCAGCGGAUCGCACCUGGGGCUCGCCUUUCCCCAAGUCACACUUGAGGGCGAAUUGUACGACGGAGACGGGAACUCGCUGCCGUCUUUGGAUUACGACGGGCAGCAGCUUCAGGUGAGAACUCCAUCCAUGGGGACGCAAGACCACGACGUCUUCUCCUUGUAUUACCCGCCGCCCGACAAAAGGACGGAAAGGCACGCAGACGGCAUGUUCAACAAAGCGUACAGGACAGCGUUGGGAAAGUUGUCGGCCAGGAAGUAUCUUCAUUCUCUCAUGGCCAAGCGGGUCGGCGGCAAGGCGCUGGACGACAGCGGCGAGCCGCUGUCCAAGCGUCACUCGGACGGCAUCUUCACGGACAGCUACAGCCGCUACCGCAAGCAGAUGGCGGUCAAGAAGUACCUGGCCGCCGUGCUGGGAAAAAGUUGUGUCGUUUAUCCACAGCAGACUCGAGGACGUAGAUUUGCGCGGCGUAGACUUUGACGCCCUCCUGGACGGGGAGGACUUUGAGGCUUUUUGGGGGGACUGGCUCAAACGGCUCCCCCCGAAAUUCCCGGCUUUGUGACACAGGAAGCGGUUUUAGCGGCUGCGCUACCUUGCAUCGACCUUUUUUUUUUUUUUUGUCUAAUUGCCCUGAUGGCUAUUUAAGAGGCCCUACAAUGCUGCAAACGAUCAGCUCACAUUUCCCCCAUCCCCCCC